GAUGAACGCUGGCGGCGUGCUUAACACAUGCAAGUCGAACGGAGAUGUUGUGUGAGCGGAGAGUGCUUGCACUUAACAAUCUUUCAACAUCUUAGUGGCGGACGGGUGAGUAACGCGUGGGUAACCUGCCUCAUACAGGGGGAUAACACUUAGAAAUAGGUGCUAAUACCGCAUAAGCGCACAGAGUCGCAUGACUCAGUGUGAAAAACUCCGGUGGUAUGAGAUGGACCCGCGUCUGAUUAGCUAGUUGGUGAGGUAACGGCCCACCAAGGCAACGAUCAGUAGCCGGCCUGAGAGGGUGAACGGCCACAUUGGGGACUGAGACACGGGCCCAAAUCCUACGGGAGGCAGCAGUGGGGAAUAUUGCACAAUGGGCGAAAGCCUGAUGCAGCGACGCCGCGUGAGCGAAGAGUAUUUCGGUAUGGUAAAGCUACUAUCAGCAGGGAAGAAAAUGACGGGUACCUGACUAAGAAGCA
rnacentral:rRNA from 1 species